rnacentral:rRNA from 1 species
AUGGCUGACCGCGACGCAUCCGAGGCCGCGGCUGUCCGCGACGAGGCCCUGGAGGCGCUAAAGCUCCACGACGCGGGCAACCACGCGGAGGCGCUGGCCCGCGCCGUGGAGCUCGCCGGCGCUCAUCCAGGCUCCGCGCUCGCGCACAACCUCGCCGGGUAUCUGCACAAGCGGGCGGGCCUCGCCGCAUCGACCGGCCGCGCCCUCGGCGACGAGCAGGCCGCGUCCGAGCACUACUCCGCCUCGCUUGAGUCCUUCUCCGCCGCGGCGACUCUCGCUCCAAACUGCAUCGUCACAGCAUUGGCCCACGCGGAGGCGCUCGCCGCCUGCCAUCGGCACGGCGACGCGCACAAGGAGCUCCUCCGCGCCCUCGCGAUCACCGACGCCGACCACGACGACCCUGCUCUUCACAACGUGCGGGUUGACUCGUCCGACUUGCUGUGCCGCGACAUGGAGAAGCCGAGGAAGAGGAAAGCCAUUAUGGACCGAUUCGCCAAGAUCAUCUGCCAAGAGACUGUACCUAGAGAGGCCAAGGAGUUGCUGGAUCCUGCAAUUACUGCUGCUGCAACGCGAGAGAAGGCAAGGAUCCUCUCCCACAGCUAUCCUUACUCCGCGCGUGCCCAGCUCCUUGCUGCAUACACCGAUUUGGCGCAAGCUCGUGCCCUCCAUCUGCCAACCUGCAAGAAGCAGCUCUUGCGUCGCACUCUCCGCAUCAUUAGUCCUGCCGCAGCAAAGUUUGAUUCCUCACUCGUCAUCGCUUUGUUCCGCGCCAAGCUCUUGUUCGCUUUGGAUGAAUUUGAUGCUGCUGAGAGCGAGUGCCUCCGAGCACUUCGCAUUGCUACCCCAGAUGACCCCAGUCACGAAGCCAUCCCUCCUCUUUCUGUCUCUGGGGAAGAUUACGCUUCCAGAGUACUAUCUAUGAAGAAGCAGCUGCAUGUCUUACGUAAGCAGAUCACAGUGGGGGCUGCAACCUACUGGUGCUCUAUGACAAACACGCAGCAGCAGGACUGCAUCAGAUCGCUGAGGGUUGACGAGUUGCUCGCACAUUAUCAGAGGAUCGACAAGUCUGCCGCAAAUACCAUAACUGAUGUGCAACGCCUUGUUAAGAAGCACAAUGUUUGGAGGUUCUGGACGUGCCCUCAUUCGAGUUGUAAUGCCAAGAAGUUUCUGAACCCCCACUCACUUUGGCAACAUAUGUGCAACAAACACCGAGACGAUAACUGGGAGAAACUUCAGGCAAUGUUAGGAACCGCACUUCGUGCAUAUUCAUUGAAGGAGGAUCACUUGCUGAAUGGGGUAACUCUCAGUGAGGAUUCACUCCAUCAGCAUGACGUUUUCCGCUUACCAAGGAUGGAGUAUGUGUUUGAAUCCUUGCUAUGUUGGCCAUCUGUUGGAAUUGAAGCAGAGUCGGUUGCCGGAAUGCAACGGAGGAAAUGCAGCGAAGCUUUGCAGAUCCUGGAGGCCAUGAAAGAGAAACUGAAGAUGCUGCCGGAAGAGUCAUCUAGCACUGAGUUUGGAGACUGUUGCUUGGAAAUACAAGCGAUGCUGCUUAAGUUUGUUGAAGUUUCAGUUAUGGAUUAUCGUCAAGUCAUACUUCCCCUUGCAGGAUCAUUUCGAUGGAGAGAUAUUAAAAGAGAUAUUGCUCAUGCUGUGAAUGACCCUGGAAAGACAAUUGGUGAUGCAAAGAUUGAUGCUGUUUUCAGCUCAAUUUACUCCCAAGCAAAGCAUAUGGACCAUCAAAACGGUGACAACAGACAGAUAAGGAACCUGGAGACAUUAAACAAAGAGGAAGAGAUGCUCAAGGCUGACACAUGUGAAGAUGAGAUGAACGAAACUGCAGGAUUGGCAGAUGCGGCGCUAUCAGAUAAAAGAGUUUUGAGCUGGAUUGGCUGCAGCAAAAGCCAGGAUACUAACUCUGAAGUGAUGGAUGGCGAGGAACGUAUAUCAUAUGAAUGA